rnacentral:rRNA from 1 species
UACAGAGGUCCCAAGCGUUGUUCGGAUUCACUGGGCGUAAAGGGUGCGUAGGUGGCCAGGUAAGUUUGGUGUGAAAGACUCGGAGCUUAACUCCGAAAAGUCAUUGAAUACUAUCUGGCUGGAGGGUCGGAGGGGAGACUGGAAUUCUCGGUGUAGCAGUGAAAUGCGUAGAUAUCGAGAGGAACACCAGUGGCGAAGGCGAGUCUCUGGACGACUCCUGACACUGAGGCACGAAAGCUAGGGGAGCAAACCAGG